AGAGCGUUUAUGUAGUUUUAUGUAGCGUUCGUCUGUCCUCUAAUAGCUACACAGAAAAAGUUACAGCAUGUCAUGAACAAUACUCGUCACAUGUGUCCGCGUCUACUGUGCAUCUGUUAGAGGACAGACGCACAAGAAAACGAGAGUCACGCGUUGGUCAUCACACCCCAAUAUUGCCACAUAGUAUGCGUUAUCCAUUCUGCGUCCCUUAUGAAGGACUGCGCCUUUGAAUACAUACUUUAUCAAAGAGCUUGGCGAUGUCAAAUCUAUGGUAAGAUCAAUUUUCACGGCGAUGAACUCCAUGGUUUUAAGCACAUAACCAGAUUUCUAGGAUGCGAAGAUAUAGCAGUACUUUUUCUGUGGGCGGUUUUAAGGUUGCAUUUGUGGCAUGUAACUUUGUUUUCCGUGCCUAGAGUUUCUUCGUUCCAAAAUUCUUCUACACAAUCUUUUGUUUCUAUUGCAAUCCCUUCGCCUUUCUUAGCAAUUUCCGCUGUAAUACAAUCAACAGCAAUCAAAACGAGAUCUAUUUUUUUAUACAACAAUCAACUAUUUUCUGACAGUUACAAUAGAGUUAACAAGAGGGAGCGAGUACCGUAAUGAUUAGAAUAAGUGCCCUCCUUUCAAAUAGGCGCCCCCCUUUUACAGCUUUGCCCUUUUACAGCUUUGCUCUCAAUUCGUUCAGAAGCUGGUAUUUACCGCCGAAAUGAAGUAAGCGCUCCCUCUCCAAUAAUCAACCCCCAAAGACCCAAAAAAAUAAGCUUAUUUAAAUCAUUACGGUAUCUGAGGCGAAGCGAUGGUUGGCCGUGUGCGUGCUUGUAUAAAGUUUGCUACGUAACUUGUGCGUCUUUAUUAAACAUCUAUUGUACAUAACUACAUAUUAGAAAGCAAAGGCUUACGACGCAGAAUGGCCACAACUCCCUUCUCGACAAUCCAGCAGCGACGAAAAGACGGUAAGCACAACUUGGAACACGUUAUUGUCAUUGUUAUCAUUAAUAUUUCUAUUAUUAUUGUUGUUAUUAUUGUUAUCAUUAUUGUUAUCAUUAUCAUCGUUAUCGUCGUCGUCAUCGUUAUUGUUAUAUUAAUAACGUUUUAGGAGGCAAAGGCUUACAACGCAGAAUACAACUCUUCAAUUGAGGAGGUGAUUACGUCUUCGGCGACGAUAGAGCAGUUGACGCGUUACAAAAUGUUGUCCGGCACUCUUCUUUUUUCUACUGUGAAAUUGCCGGCUUCUUCAGAGUUUGUUCUCGAUCUUGGGGACUGGGAAAAAAUCAAGCCUAAUGCGGAAAAGAAGAAUUGUCUCCAAAGAGUGUGGACAGAUAUUUUAUACAAAUACGUAAAAACCUGUUGUCCGUUAGCAUUCAAAUGGCAUUCUGUGAAGAGGUUGAAUUCUCGACAAUAUGGCGCAGAGUUUGUCUUUAUAGCGAAAGGCUACUGCUCCUUCGAUACAUGCAAUUUAAAAUUCAAAGUCUUUAUGAAAAGCUCCGAUGAAGAAAAACGAAGAAUCCACGUUGACCUUGGAGGCUCAGUUCUUCACGACGCCUCUUUGCAAAAGGCUCUCUUUAUCAAAGGUUAGACGCGCCAGAAGUUCGCAGAGUCCGGAAAACAUCUAUCUGUAUACUUCCACGAGCAAAUCGAUGCAAUGGAAUAGGCUUCUCUUGUAGGGGGUAAUUUGACGGGGGUAGGGUCUUGUGAUGUUAUUAAGCAAAUAUCUAGUGAGGCAAGGAAAAGUCUCAUUUGAGCGAGGAUCCCGAAGUCCUUACAACUUCCUAAAGAAAAUAUGGCUGAGGAUGACAAGAGGUCCUAAAUCAAAGGGUACAUUCAUACAUUGCCGCCGAUCUCCUUACCGUGCACUUACGGACAGAGGGUCAGGUUCGGUUGUGGCACGAUCUCUGUACAAAAGAUGUCUCUUUUAUUGACGCGACGGGCACAGUAAUAGCAGAUUGGAAUGGCCGAAGGGUACUGUACUACGCGCUGAUUGUCCGUCAUCCUGUUGAGGGAGCCCAUCCCUCUGGCAGAGCUCAAUACUUCCAAGCAUGAUGUUCCUACUAUCCAGCAUUUUCUACAUUGCUUUAGGCAUGCAGAGAUGUUAUCUUUGGCGAUGGAAAUGUGCAAAUGCCACGGCAUAUUAACAUGGAUCAGGGUAAGGCCACCCUGGUAGCUUUUCCUUAAGGGAUAAACAAAAAACCAUCCAGAAGUUCUUGGAAAGAAGCUUCCGCUAACCACUGAUACAGAGUUGCCGGGCGACGUACGUUUGAUGACACCUCAUUAUUGUUGCGCAUAUUUUUUGCGAGGGGCACAUAAUAUCUGCAAGAAGAUAUGUAAAGGCAGGUAGUAUAAUUUCAUGAUGUAUACAGUUUCCUUUUUAGUGAAUGCACGUCUUUGAAUGAGUUUACAUUGAUUCUCGAGGACAUUUCUCUUCUGAUGACUAAUAAAAAUCAAAGUAAGCAGAUAUUGGCGGCUUACGGGCGAGUUAAAAAGAUAAUUGAGGCCUUAAAUUGUAAUAACAAAAACAAAGUGCAAGCGGACAUCGAUGACGCAUCACUUAGCGACCUUCCAAGUACAUUGAUAGAAGAUGUAGAACAAGGCGGCCAAAACCCUUUUGUUGCGUAUUUUGAAAAACAUAUCUUCCAGAAAGACAACAAUGUACAGAAGAGCAAUAGGAACAACAACCCUUGUUAUGCACCAGAAUUGCUAGCAUUUAUAAAAUCGAAGUUGCAUUUAGCACCCUUGUUGAGCGCCUUUCCUGCUGAAUACAUUGUAUAGGAAACAGCCCAUUAUAAGCUAUGUUCCUGUCCUCAGAAAAAGUCUCCAAUGGCCACCAAUGGUCAAAUAGAAAAUUACAUGAAACUUAUAAAAUAUAACGAUUUUUUUUACCAGUUUGUCGCCGAGCGGAGAGCUCACAUCAGGGGUCGCGCUCGAGUAUUUGGCGCAACUCUCCACAGGGCUUUAAAAUCUAAGAAAGCGCUAACCCUUCCAAGAAAAUGCAAGAUACGCCACGGGGAUGUCUCUGAAUUUCCUGGAUCGACGGAAUCAUGGGCCAAAAUACCCAAGACAUUGCAAUCGCCCGAUAAGAAGCAUGGGGUCUAUCAGCAACCUCCAAAAUUCUCUGUUCCUGAAUACCCUGAGAAGAACUCCAAGACAAUGAAGAACAAAAAAAUAGAUUUUAACCAAAAGGAACCAAAUUAAGCAAGCAUGUACCGCAACUUACAAAA